UACGUAGGUGGCAAGCGUUGUCCGGAAUUAUUGGGCGUAAAGCGCGCGCAGGCGGUUCUUUAAGUCUGAUGUGAAAGCCCACGGCUCAACCGUGGAGGGUCAUUGGAAACUGGGGGAACUUGAGUACAGAAGAGGAAAGCGGGAUUCCACGUGUAGCGGUGAAAUGCGUAGAGAUGUGGAGGAACACCAGUGGCGAAGGCGACUCUUUGGUCUGUAACUGACGCUGAGGCGCGAAAGCGUGGGGAGCAAACAGG
rnacentral:rRNA from 1 species